ACGCUGGCGGCGUGCUUAACACAUGCAAGUCGAACGAACCUUCGGGUUAGUGGCGGACGGGUGAGUAACGCGUGAGAAUCUGCCCUCAGGAGGGGGAUAACGGUUGGAAACGACCGCUAAUACCCCAUAUGCCUACUGGUGAAAUGAAUUUCGCCUGAGGAUGAGCUCGCGUCUGAUUAGCUAGUUGGUGAGAUAAUGGCUCACCAAGGCUUCGAUCAGUAGCUGGUCUGAGAGGAUGAUCAGCCACACUGGGACUGAGACACGGCCCAGACUCCUACGGGAGGCAGCAGUGGGGAAUUUUCCGCAAUGGGCGAAAGCCUGACGGAGCAACGCCGCGUGAGGGACGAAGGCCUCUGGGCUGUAAACCUCUUUUCUCAAGGAAGAAGAUAUGACGGUACUUGAGGAAUAAGCCACGGCUAAUUCCGUGCCAGCAGCCGCGGUAAUACGGGAGUGGCAAGCGUUAUCCGGAAUUAUUGGGCGUAAAGCGUCCGCAGGCGGCUUUUCAAGUCUGCUGUUAAAGCGUGGAGCUUAACUCCAUCAUGGCAGUGGAAACUGAAAGGCUUGAGUAUGGUAGGGGCAGAGGGAAUUCCCGGUGUAGCGGUGAAAUGCGUAGAUAUCGGGAAGAACACCAGUGGCGAAGGCGCUCUGCUGGGCCAUUACUGACGCUCAUGGACGAAAGCCAGGGGAGCGAAAGGGAUUAGAUACCCCUGUAGUCCUGGCCGUAAACGAUGAACACUAGGUGUCGGGGGAAUCGACCCCUUCGGUGUCGUAGCUAACGCGUUAAGUGUUCCGCCUGGGGAGUACGCACGC
rnacentral:rRNA from 1 species